ACCUUAGAGACCAACUAAGUUUGUUAUUGGUAUGAGCUUUUGUGUGCAUGCACACUUCUUCUUCUUGCAUGCACACGAAAGCUCACACCAAUAACAAACUUAGUUGGUCUCUAAGGU